rnacentral:rRNA from 1 species
GACUCCUCCCCACCGCAUGGUGGGGUGGGAAAAACUUUUUGCGGCAUGGGAGGGGGGCGCCUCCUAUCAUCUUGUUGGUGGGGGGAUGACCCCCCAACGCGUUGACGGGUAGCCGGCCGGAAAAGGUGACCACCCCCCUUGGGACUAAAAAAAGGCCCAAAAUCCUCCGGGAGGAAGCAGUGGGGAAAAUUAUACAAUGGGGGCAACCCUGAUGAAGCAACCCCCCCGGGGGAAUGAAGGCCUUCUGGUUGUAAACCCCUUUUUUUCUAAGGCAACGCACCGCUUCUUGCCGUGUUGAUUGGAUUGUUCUAAUAAUCACCGCCUAACUACUUGCCACCAGCCGCGGUAAUACUUAGGGUGCGAGCAUUAUCCUGAUUUAUUGUGCGUAAAGGGCUCCUAGGCGGUUCGUCGCGUCCUGUGUGAAAAUCCAUCACCUAACAGUGGAUCAGCUCCGGGUACGGGCGGGCUGGAGUGCGGUAGGAGAGACUGGAAUUCCCGGUGUAACGGUGGAAUGUGUAGAUAUCGGGAAGAACACCAAUGGCGAAGGCAGGUCUCUGGGCCGUUACUGACGCUGAGGAGCGAAAGCGUGGGGAGCGAACAGGAUUAGAUACCCUGGUAGUCCACGCCGUAAACGGUGGAUGCUGGAUGUGGGGCCCGUUCCACGGGUUCUGUGUCGGAGCUAACGCGUUAAGCAUCCCGCCUGGGGAGUACGGCCGCAAGGCUAAAACUCAAAGAAAUUGACGGGGGCCCGCACAAGCGGCGGAGCAUGCGGAUUAAUUCGAUGCAACGCGAAGAACCUUACCUGGGCUUGACAUGUUCCGGAUGGUCCUAGAGAUACGGUUUCCCUUCGGGGCGGGUUCACAGGUGGUGCAUGGUCGUCGUCAGCUCGUGUCGUGAGAUGUUGGGUUAAGUCCCGCAACGAGCGCAACCCUCGCCCCGUGUUGCCAGCGGGUUAUGCCGGGAACUCACGGGGGACCGCCGGGGUCAACUCGGAGGAAGGUGGGGAUGACGUCAGAUCAUCAUGCCCCUUACGUCCAGGGCUUCACGCAUGCUACAAUGGCCGGUACAACGGGAUGCGACACGGUGACGUGGAGCGGAUCCCUGAAAACCGGUCUCAGUUCGGAUCGCAGUCUGCAACUCGACUGCGUGAAGGCGGAGUCGCUAGUAAUCGCGGAUCAGCAACGC